AACCGAUAAUACUAAACCAUCCGCGAGGAUGGGACGGAAAACCUAAAGGGUCUUUCAGAGACAGCCGGGUCGCCGAA
rnacentral:ncRNA from 1 species